CAGGUUCUCCUCUCUGCUAGGAGCUGAACACUCGUUGGGACACCCUGACUGUGGAAAGGAGCUACCUGC
rnacentral:miRNA from 1 species